CGGGGUGUGGCUCAGUUGGUAGAGCGCGUGGUUUGGGACCAUGAGGUCGGGAGUUCGAGACUCUCCACCCCGACCA
rnacentral:tRNA from 2 species